GCUUUGUAAAUCCUAGAGUUCCAGUGAGGUUCAUGAGAAAGAAGAAGGGCUCAGAGAUCCGGCCGGUGGUUCGGUGAGGUUCAUGUCAGAGUUGUGCCAUU